UUCGAGCCGACGCCGAGUUCUGCCCACGGUUCGAAGCUCCCUCCAGACCAUUCAGGGCAGAAGCGGGGGAACCAGGUUCCACCGGGUGACCAGAGUCGCUGGUCGCCCUCGGGGUUAAGUCAUCCGUGCGCGGAUGACCGGGCUUCCCGGCCCGCACCCGACAGCUAACUCCGUAGGCGUACGGGAAGGAUCA
rnacentral:sRNA from 1 species